CGCUGAGGCACGAAAGCAUGGGUAGCGAACAGGAUUAGAUACCCUGGUAGUCCACGCCGUAAACUAUGAUUACUCGUUCUCGGCGAUACACAGUCGGGGACCAAGCGAAAGUGAUAAGUAAUCCACCUGGGGAGUACGAUCGCAAGGUUGAAACUCAAAGGAAUUGACGGGGGCCCGCACAAGCGGUGGAGCAUGUGGUUUAAUUCGAUGAUACGCGA
rnacentral:rRNA from 1 species